UUCAUAUUUUCACUAGCUGGAAAAAAGUGUCCUUGGGCAAGACACUUAACCCAUGUUGCCUUCUGAUGUGUCUAUCGGGGUAUGAGCGUGUGUGUGUGAAUGGGUGAGUGUGAUAUGUAGUGUAAAGCGCUUUGAGUGGUCAAGCUGGCUG